UGCAAGCUUGAAGUAAUGACUACAAAAACAGGAUGUGGCUACUAUUUAGAUGACAAAGACAACUUUAACAAAUUUAUUUUCUGAAGGAAAUAGAGAUUUUUAUAUUUAAACUAUUCAACUUCAUGAAAAUUCGGAUUUAGCAGGUUUUAAACUCUUUCGGUACCAAAUUUCAGCAUCAUUACAAGCACCCUAUAAGACGCUAUAGCAAGGAAUAUUUCUACACGCAGCUGUACGAGUGAACUUUGUGAGUGUGAUAUUCAAAAAUAAAUCUUUCACUAUAUUCAUGGGUCAAUUGAUAAAGAUGGUGGUCGUAUGGUUAACGGAUGGUGGUCGAUGGUUGAUAAAGAUGGUGGUCGAUGGUUGAUAAAGAUGGUGGUCGUAAAGAACGAAAAGAAAGGAAGAAACUAACAAACAACGCUGAUUAGCAAUAAUACGGAUAAUGAAUCACCUUCUUCAAACGAAGAAUAAUCUUUUAAAAAUUUAUUUUUUGGUUGAAAAAAUUGUUAAAUAAGUUUAAAAAAUCUCUUGUUUUAUGAA